GCGGCGUUAGCUCAGCUGGAUAGAGUGUUUGGCUACGAACCAAAAGGUCGGGGGUUCGAAUCCCUUACGCCGUACCA
rnacentral:tRNA from 1 species